rnacentral:rRNA from 1 species
AUAAUGGGUCAGCGACUUAUAUUCUGUAGCAAGGUUAACCGAAUAGGGGAGCCGAAGGGAAACCGAGUCUUAACUGGGCGUUAAGUUGCAGGGUAUAGACCCGAAACCCGGUGAUCUAGCCAUGGGCAGGUUGAAGGUUGGGUAACACUAACUGGAGGACCGAACCGACUAAUGUUGAAAAAUUAGCGGAUGACUUGUGGCUGGGGGUGAAAGGCCAAUCAAACCGGGAGAUAGCUGGUUCUCCCCGAAAGCUAUUUAGGUAGCGCCUCGUGAAUUCAUCUCCGGGGGUAGAGCACUGUUUCGGCAAGGGGGUCAUCCCGACUUACCAACCCGAUGCAAACUGCGAAUACCGGAGAAUGUUAUCACGGGAGACACACGGCGGGUGCUAACGUCCGUCGUGAAGAGGGAAACAACCCAGACCGCCAGCUAAGGUCCCAAAGUCAUGGUUAAGUGGGAAACGAUGUGGGAAGGCCCAGACAGCCAGGAUGUUGGCUUAGAAGCAGCCAUCAUUUAAAGAAAGCGUAAUAGCUCACUGGUCGAGUCGGCCUGCGCGGAAGAUGUAACGGGGCUAAACCAUGCACCGAAGCUGCGGCAGCGACGCUUAUGCGUUGUUGGGUAGGGGAGCGUUCUGUAAGCCUGCGAAGGUGUGCUGUGAGGCAUGCUGGAGGUAUCAGAAGUGCGAAUGCUGACAUAAGUAACGAUAAAGCGGGUGAAAAGCCCGCUCGCCGGAAGACCAAGGGUUCCUGUCCAACGUUAAUCGGGGCAGGGUGAGUCGACCCCUAAGGCGAGGCCGAAAGGCGUAGUCGAUGGGAAACAGGUUAAUAUUCCUGUACUUGGUGUUACUGCGAAGGGGGGACGGAGAAGGCUAUGUUGGCCGGGCGACGGUUGUCCCGGUUUAAGCGUGUAGGCUGGUUUUCCAGGCAAAUCCGGAAAAUCAAGGCUGAGGCGUGAUGACGAGGCACUACGGUGCUGAAGCAACAAAUGCCCUGCUUCCAGGAAAAGCCUCUAAGCAUCAGGUAACAUCAAAUCGUACCCCAAACCGACACAGGUGGUCAGGUAGAGAAUACCAAGGCGCUUGAGAGAACUCGGGUGAAGGAACUAGGCAAAAUGGUGCCGUAACUUCGGGAGAAGGCACGCUGAUAUGUAGGUGAAGUCCCUCGCGGAUGGAGCUGAAAUCAGUCGAAGAUACCAGCUGGCUGCAACUGUUUAUUAAAAACACAGCACUGUGCAAACACGAAAGUGGACGUAUACGGUGUGACGCCUGCCCGGUGC